rnacentral:rRNA from 1 species
AUUGAACGCUGGCGGCAGGCCUAACACAUGCAAGUCGAACGAGUGGCGGACGGGUGAGUAAUGUCUGGUAAACUUCCUGAUCGAGGGGGGACACUACUGGAAACGGUAGCUAAUACCCCCUUCCAUCAUAUUAGGCCAGAGGGGAUUAGCUUGUUGGUGUGGUAACGGCUCACCAAGGCGACGAACCCUAGCUGGUCUGAGAGGAUGACCAGCCACACUGGAACUGAGACACGGCCCAGACUCCUACGGGAGGCAGCAGUGGGGAAUAUUGCACAAUGGGCGCAAGCCUGAUGCAGCCAUGCCGCGUGUAUGAAGAAGGCCUUCGGGUUGUAAAGUACUUUCAGCGGGGAGGCGUUACCCGCAGAAGAAGCACCGGCUAACUCCGUGCCAGCAGCCGCGGUAAUUC